UGGGGAAUCUUGCGCAAUGGGCGAAAGCCUGACGCAGCGACGCCGCGUGAGUGAUGAAGGCCUUAGGGUUGUAAAGCUCUGUGGAGAGGGACGAAUAAGGCAUGGUUAAUAGCCAUGUUGAUGACGGUACCUCUUUAGCAAGCACCGGCUAACUCUGUGCCAGCAGCCGCGGUAAGACAGAGGGUGCAAACGUUGUUCGGAAUUACUGGGCGUAAAGCGCGUGUAGGCGGCCACGCAAGUCGGGUGUGAAAUCCCAGGGCUCAACCCUGGACGUGCACUCGAAACUGCAUGGCUAGAGUCUCGGAGAGGGAAGCGGAAUUCUGGGUGUAGAGGUGAAAUUCGUAGAUAUCCAGAGGAACACCGGUGGCGAAGGCGGCUUCCUGGACGAGCACUGACGCUGAGACGCGAAAGCGUGGGGAGCAAACAGGAUUAGAUACCCCCGUAGUCC
rnacentral:rRNA from 1 species